CCCGCUGAGUUUAAGCAUAUCAAUAAGCGGAGGAAAAGAAACUUACCAGGAUUCCCCUAGUAACGACGAGCGAAUCGGGAAAAGCCCAGCUUGAGAAUCAGGCGCCACCGGCGUCUAAAUUGUAGUUUAGAGAAGCGUCCUCAGUGGUGGACUGGGCCCAAGUCCCCUGGAAAGGGGCGCCAGAGAGGGUGAGAGCCCCAUCAUGCCCGGACCUUAUCGCACCACGAGGCGCUGUCUACGAGUCAGGUUGUUUGGGAAUGCAGCCCUAAUCGGGAGGUAAAUUCCGUCCAAGGCUAAAUACGGGCAAGAGACCGAUAGCGAACAAGUACCUCAAGGGAAAGAUGAAAAGGACUUUGAAAAGAGAGUUGGUCGCUUGAUUCGUAACAAGUAAUAAAUAUUUAUAAUGAAGAAAAACCUAGACUAACUAUUAUCACGACGAAAAGGCAAGCGCACCUAUCGAACAAUAGUAUAGUAAUGGCAAGACAGGGAUAUCGUACCUAAGGGAACCAAAAGUACUAGUAAUAACUAUCUUUUAUUAUUUAACCUAGAAAUAAAGAGGGGUUGUUUAUUAAACUAAUUAACUAAACUAAUUAACUAACUAAAGUAAAGUAAAGAGAAAAUUUGGACAAAGACUUGAAGAAAAGUAAUUGAUAAAGACGACACCCAAAGAGGAAUCCACCUAGAUUUCACUUGUUAUCUGACUUUGAACCAG
rnacentral:ncRNA from 1 species